AAGAAUCUAUUGUUCAUACUGGCAGCGUCUGUGAAGGCAAAAGUAUCUGUUCAGGGCUCACCUCUAAGGAAAACCUUCUCCACGGAAAGGCAAAAUUUAAACUGACAAGAGAAAAACCUCUAAAAGCUAAAGGUAGAUACUGUAUCAAACUAAACAAGCAUCAUGGGACGAGGUGAGAGUGAGGGGUGGGAGGAAGAGCCAAAGACAACUCAGCCCAAGAGCCAUGGGGACAACAAGGAAAAAAGUUCAGAGGGUGGAGGCUGUCCAAAGUGCUGCUUGAAGACCAGGGACUGUCUGAUGAGCCCAGAAUGUGGCAGAGCACUGCAGAUCUCCAGUGUUGUCGCCUUCUGCGGAAUGUGUAUCCGUGCAUGGACGUAAUUAUCAAGGCCUUUGGGACUUCUCUGAACUAUGAAGAAUCCUUCAAUCUUCUGAUUGAACUAUUUUAUUAUACUCUAAAAUGAAAAAUGUUUAACUGUACUCUUUGCUUAGUUUUUCUUAACUUCAGUAUUUUUAAAUAGAUAGGCCAGUGAUUAAAAAUGUCAUACUUUACCAAAGUAUUUUAUUCAUUAAAUAAGUGUAAUUGUAUGUAUGCAGUAAAUAAUGUCAUAAUGUAGAAAGCUGAAGUCAAGCUUGUUUGUAUUUGCCACGUAAUUCUUUUAGAGAAUUACAUGGCAAGAAUUUGAAUGUAUACAAUAACUAAGUAAACGUAAUUUAUUUUUAUGUUUAAGUAACGUUUUUGUAGUUUAUAUCCCUAAAGAUUUGAGAGAUAAAUAAAUAACAUUCAUAUUGAAAAGCUGUCCUCACAAUUUGAUCAGAACAAAAACAUCUGGCAUUCAUGAAGACCUUCAAGUUGAAGGCUUUGGUUCAGUUUGCCCAUUUUUAGAGACUAAAUUGUAUGAAACAAAAAACACUUUUCUUUCCAUUGGACCUUUAGCAGAUAAUAAAAACUAUAAAUCAUUAGUUGUAAAAUCUGAUGAAAUCUAAAAAUGAUUGAUAAAAAAUGUUCUGUGGCAGAUAGCUCAAUUUUUCACACAAAAAUGUCAGUUGUGAAAAAAAUAAA